ACGAGUGUGAAAUAAAUCCCAUAUCAAAAAAUCACGAGUCGUGUGACCUGUUUCUACCACAAUAAUAUCGGCUUGAAUCAAAGGGAAAUAAUAUUUCACGCAUGCAAAUAAUGUGUACAGGUGAAGGCCUGGACCCGGUGAUGUGUCGUCAUUCGCUUAUUGAUGACGUCAAUAACAAUUACAGCUCGGGUAAAAGUUCUAAUUCUUAACCAAUCAAAAGACUGGUGGGAGGUCAUAUUCCACUUGUGGUAAAUAAUAUAUAUAUCCAACAGUCGGCACAUAUAUACAAUGACUUGAGAGUGGAAUAACACAGCGUAUUGUGGUAGAAACUGUACCUAAAUGUACCUACAGCGUUAGGGUGUGGACUAUUUAUAGAGAAAAUAUAUAUGCUUACUCCAUUAGUCAGAUGUGCAAUACUACUGCUGUUUUACUAAUCAUAGUGUAGUUUGUAUUCGAUAGUAUUGUAUAUUAAAGUUAAUCACGGACAAGUCCAAGUCGGCGGCCCAAAUCGAGUUUUUAUGCUCGACUUAACCAACUUUCCAUGUACCGAUCUAUGCAAUGCCAUAAAUGAUCCGAAUUAAUCGGUUGCCUACCAUACACAUAUCAUAUAAGCCGGGAUCAAAACAUUUUUUAAAUAAAUUUUAUGCAUUGGACAAAGAGAAUACAAACGUCGUGUAAUUGACACUGGUCGUGCCACAAACACGUGAACAUACACUUACAUAAUGUACAUAUUUGAUGACUUUCUUUGUAUGAAUGCAUUCUGCAUGCAUAUACAUUUUGUAUAAAGCAUGUAUUUGGAAUUAUAAUAUAUAAUUUUCCAUAUAAUUCAAUCCUAGAGCGUUAUACCUUUGAUUGGUCAUAUAAGAAUGGUAAUUUCCUGUACUAUGAAUGAUUUAUUAGAUUAUCAGACAUUUAUACCGAAAUUUUAUAUACAAAAAAUUAUCAAAUCAUGUACGACGUUGUCCAUUUGUCACAACAUUUAACAUUGAUGACAUGUGAUUGAAGGCGACUAUCAUAUAUAAACCGGAUGUGGAUGUAUAUUUCAUUUACGAUUUCAUUUCAUUGACAUUGAUAGAGGUUUAUCUCACCUGGGAGUUCUUAUCAGUCAGAUAUACAUUCCGCUAUAUAACGAUCAAAAUCAAACAGAACAAAUAAAUCAAUAUAUUUAAAUGUGAAGAGAAAUUCUAAAACUAGAUAAAAAUACAAUUUUAAAAACAGGCCUUUCACAAAAAUGCAUGUAUUGACUUAAAUGUCAGAGUCCCAUAAAUGUUUCAUUUACGAAUCAAUAACUAAUACAAGCAAAUACAUCUACGCUGUGAAUUUUUGCUAAUUUAAAAAAAAAGUGUCAAUAUAUAUUUUUUCUCUUAUUCCUAAAUAAUCAAUAAAAAUAGCAAUGGCAUUUUCUGUGACCAGAACGUUUCAUCAUUAUAUGAACUAUUGAUGUAUCUGUAGGUUGGAUUCAAUAUUUGCAAUAACGUAGGUUUUAUAUUUUAACCUAACUUAAGAGAUACUUUCAUUGUUUUAAUCUACAAAGGCAAUUGGUCAUUAUUAAGGACAAGAAGAUAUCAAGUGGUGAAAUCAGUUGUGGUCUGUCAGAUGUAUCGCGUCUGAUAUCUGUUGCCAAAUACCUAUUGACAAGCAAAAUGUUCUACACAAACAAGGUGUCGAUGUAAGGGAUGGACGACCAAAGUUCGAAAUAUCCAGUGUUCGAAUCAACAAAUUUCGAAACGUAUCUGUUUAACUAAUAAGAUAAAGAAAUGGGAAAUCGGGACAAAAACAUUCGACUCAUUUGAUGUAUUCGAUUCAACCGUGUUCGACACAUGCAAAUUUUAUUGUAGAUACGUCAAUAAUGAAACACGAGUGAUCAUAUGAUUUGGAGUUAACGAGCGUAUUGUUUUCACACGAAACAAUAGUCCAGCGAGGGGUACAAAUGCUACAAAUCGACCUAUCUAAAGAAGCCAGUGUUACUGUACAUAUUACACUUUGAUUUGGUUUGUUUUUGUUUAACGUCCUAUUAACAGCCAGGGUCAUUUAAGGACGUGUCAGGUUUUGGAGGUGGAGGAAAGCCGGAGUACCCGAAGAAACCACCAGCCUACGGUCAGGUACCUGGCAACUGCCCCACGUAGGUUUCGAACUCGCAACCCAGAGGUGGAGGGCUAGUGAUAAAGUGUCGGGACUCCUUAACCACUCGGCCACCGCGGCUCCCACACAUAUUACACAACAUUAUGUACAUUACAUUUGACAAGAAGUCAUGCUUACAAAUAAAUGAUGAUUAAAGGAAGAGGAAUUUAUACCACUGUGACGACUGCGAAAAUAACCCGACGGAAUUGUCUUAAGUCACUUUAAUAUAAUGACGAUAGCACAUUUGUCUUUUAAUCAAAAUUACUGAAGGUUGACUUUAACCUAUAUCACUAUUUGUUUUGGUUUUGUUUCAGUCUCGUCAUAAAAUGUAUUAAAGACAUGUUUUUAAAAAAAAAACAUCCUUUAAGUCCCCUGCUUCUGAAUCAAAUACGUUCAUGAUCUGAAUUGACGCUGUCUUGCAGAUGGAAGCAUUUUCCUUUCUGAAAAAAAAACAACAACUUACAUUUGUCCCGGCUGUUCAUGAAGCACCUCCACAAUUAUUUUUAUGUUGUUAAUGAGAAAUUAAGAAAUUGAUUGUUGUUGUUUCAAAUAUAUGAAAAUCCAAUUUGUUAUAUAUCACAUAGAUUAGAUAUUCAUUUUAGUGUGAUGAAUUCAUUUUUUCCUGUGAUAAUCUUGUAAUUCUAAAAAAAUAAAAUAUGCAAAGUG